AGUAUGGACUUCUAAAGUACUGUGCAAAUAGAUAGGACAAGUAGCGGUCAAGGAAUGAUUCUGCUGCUAAUAUUUCUUAAGCAGUACGGAGCUGCCAAGGAAAACGAAGGAUUAGCUAAUAGUCUACUGCUUCUCCGACUGUGGUGAGCUUCAAGUGACCAUGAUGGAAGUAGCUGUUGCAAAUGGCCAUGUUCUUGGAAGCGACAAAGUGAAUUAGGGCGCUCUCAUUCGUCUAUCAAAGAGCGCUGAACUUUCCAGCAGUCGAUUUGAACUCCACUGGCCAAGUUGAACGUUCGGAUAUCUCAUGAUGCUUUUGAUGGCAUAGGUCGAGCAGCUAACGUACUCGCGUUUUGAACUGCGUAUAUAAUAAGUUAUCAUUAUCAGUGCUUCCGUAGUAUCUCUGCAUAUCACUAAUUAAAACUGUUUCCAGCUCGUGUACCUGGUCGAGUCCGCAUUCCUUUAGUACAAUCGGCAAUUAUGCUUUCGACUCGAUGCAGAUGAGGGAUUUACAAUUGCACGAACUGUGCUUAUAAUCAUCAGUUCUUAAUCGUCGCUAUGGUUUUCACCGAUUGUUCCAGUCCUUCCCUGCUAGGAAUCGACUAGUUCCCAUCAGAAUUGAUUACCCGACUGACAAGCACCUCGGAGAUAAAGGGACAAAAGUUGCUUGGCAGGAAACUAAGAACCAUUCAAUGUGAUCUAGAUAUUCCAUUGUUUCAAGUAUACAAAAUACGAAUGGUGCCUUUGAGAAUUCAAGAGGUGGAAAGAAACAAUGAAUAUUAAUACAAAUAAAAACGAAAAACUCAUCGAAUACCGUUUUGAAUAUUCAUAGAGUUUUCCUUUGAGGCUUUGUAUUCGUUGGGAUUCCAUAAUCGUGCUAUUGCCCCAACGUAGAGUAAGUUACUAAGCUUGAGUAAAGAAUAGACUGUAGCGUUUUCAUCGAAUGUAGGCACAUAAAAAAUAGAAUAUUUAUUUGAAUAAAUUAAUAAUGCCUCAUUGUUA